rnacentral:tRNA from 1 species
GGCUUCAUAGUGUAGUGGUUAGCAUGUCUGCUUUACACACAGAAGGUCCUGGGUUUGCGCUCCCGGUGGAGCCA